AUGAAGUUUUUCCUGGGAAGAAGCAUAAAAAUGUUGCCUGUUCAUUUAUUGCAACCCCUCGUCAUUCUCUGAAUGAUUUGGAAGACCAGUCUAUAAAACAAGGACAUUGUUUUGAAUGUUGCAUAGUAUCAUGCCUAGCAGAAUGGGAUCAAAAAUGAACACGAAGAAAGACUUCAUUAGAGUAAAAACUCAUUAUAAUGGAGACAUCCUUAUCACCCACUUGGGUGCCUCAAUGAACUAUGAUGAACUUUGUGAUGAAGUGAGAGAAAUGUGCAAUUUAUCACAGGAACAACCAAUUACCCUGAAGUGGAUUGAUAAUGAAGGUGAUCCCUGUACCAUUUCAUCCCAGAUGGAGCUGGAAGAAGCAUUCCGUUUGUAUUGUCGGUACAGAGAUGAAGGGCUUAUUAUUCAUGGCAAGUUUUGAGACUCGUAGUUUAGCAAACAUUUCGAAUGAUAUC